rnacentral:rRNA from 1 species
GACGAACGCUGGCGGCGUGCUUAACACAUGCAAGUCGAGCGGCGCGGCGAACGGGUGAGUAACGCGUGAGUAACUGCCCCCCUCUCUGGGAUAACAGUUGGAAACGGCUGCUAAUACCGGAUAGUGGGGGAUGACUCGCGUCCGAUCAGCUUGUUGGUGGGGUAGGGGCCUACCAAGGCGACGACGGGUAGCCGGCCUGAGCGGGGGACCGGCCACAUUGGGCUGCGAGACGGCCCAAACUCGUACGGGAGGCAGCAGUGGGGAAUAUUGCACAAUGGGGGAAACCCUGAGGCAGCAACGCCGCGGGCGGGAUGACGGCCUUGGGGUUGUAAACCGCUUGCAGCCAAGACGCGUUAGUGGCAGAAGAAGCACCGGCUAACUACGUGCCAGCAGCCGCGGUAAUAC